GCCGCGGUGGCGGAAUUGGUAUACGCGCGCGACUCAAAAUCGCGUUCCGCAAGGAUUGUGGGUUCAAGUCCCACCCGCGGCACCA
rnacentral:tRNA from 1 species